GCAGCCUGAUCCAGCAAUGCCGCGUGGAGUGAAGAAGGCCUUCGGGUUGUAAAGCUCUUUUGUCAGGGAAGAAACGGUGAGGGCUAAUAUCUCUUGCUAAUGACGGUACCUGAAGAAUAAGCACCGGCUAACUACGUGCCAGCAGCCGCGGUAAUACGUAGGGUGCAAGCGUUAAUCGGAAUUACUGGGCGUAAAGCGUGCGCAGGCGGUUUUGUAAGUUUGUCGUGAAAGCCCCGGGCUCAACCUGGGAAUUGCGAUGAAGACUGCAAGGCUUGAAUCUGGCAGAGGGGGGUAGAAUUCCACGUGUAGCAGUGAAAUGCGUAGAGAUGUGGAGGAACACCGAUGGCGAAGGCAGCCCCCUGGGUCAAGAUUGACGCUCAUGCACGAAAGCGUGGGGAGCAAACAGGAUUAGAUACCCUGGUAGUCCACGCCCUAAACGAUGUCUACUAGUUGUCGGGUUUUAAUUAACUUGGUAACGCAGCUAACGCGUGAAGUAGACCGCCUGGGGAGUACGGUCGCAAGAUUAAAACUCAAAGGAAUUGACGGGGACCCGCACAAGCGGUGGAUGAUGUGGAUUAAUUCGAUGCAACGCGAAAAACCUUACCUACCCUUGACAUGUACGGAAGGCCGGAGAGAU
rnacentral:rRNA from 1 species